CAUUUGAAAAUUAUCCAAAGCUGUGUAAAAUGGUAACUGGCCAAAAGUUAAUAUACAAUCUCAAUUCUUUUUUCCCCCUAAUUUACACAGCUUUGGAUAAUUUUCAAAUGUUGUUGUAUUUGCUAGUCCACAUUUUUCAACUUUUACAAAAUUUUCUAUACCCAAAGUGGAACAUCAAUAGCCCUAAAUGGAGAAAUAAAUGGACAACAAAUCAUCCACCCCUCUAAAGGAAGCAACACUAAGCUGUUAGCCUCCACGCCAACUAAGUAACCCUACCUGCCUGCUCUCCUGGUUGCCCAUGCACACACAAGAACCGUGCUAGGGAACGUUUCACGCCUCAUUGAUGCACCAUUUACAAAUUUUUAAGAUAUAAGAAGAUACCAAGAUGGAGUUUUUUUUU
rnacentral:misc_RNA from 1 species